rnacentral:rRNA from 1 species
GCAGGGUGAGUCGACCCCUAAGGCGAGGCCGAAAGGCGUAGUCGAUGGGAAACAGGUUAAUAUUCCUGUACUUGGUGUUACUGCGAAGGGGGGACGGAGAAGGCUAUGUUAGCCGGGCGACGGUUGUCCCGGUUUAAGCAUGUAGGCUGAUUGUCCAGGCAAAUCCGGAUAAUCAAGGCUGAGGUGUGAUGACGAGGCACUACGGUGCUGAAGUAACAAAUGCCCUGCUUCCAGGAAAAGCCUCUAAGCAUCAGGUAACAUCAAAUCGUACCCCAAACCGACACAGGUGGUCAGGUAGAGAAUACCAAGGCGCUUGAGAGAACUCGGGUGAAGGAACUAGGCAAAAUGGUGCCGUAACUUCGGGAGAAGGCACGCUGGUGUGUAGGUGAAGCCCCUGCGGGUGGAGCUGAGACCAGUCGAAGAUACCAGCUGGCUGCAACUGUUUAUUAAAAACACAGCACUGUGCAAACACGAAAGUGGACGUAUACGGUGUGACGCCUGCCCGGUGCCGGAAGGUUAAUUGAUGGGGUUAUCCGUAAGGAGAAGCUCU